rnacentral:sRNA from 1 species
ACAUUGAGGGCAAUCUGGCUGAAACAUCUGUCACCCCAUUGAUCGCCAGGGUUGACUGGGCUGAUCUGGCUGGCUAGGCGGGUGUCCCCUUCCUCCCUCCCCACUCCACGUGCGUCCCUCCCGAAGCUGCGUGCUUGGUGGAGGAGGACGACCACCCCCGACAGAGGAGGACCAUUUUUUUCUUUUAUAGAUGAAGGCAUAUGGGAAGAGACUGCUAUAGAGCGAGCUGAGGCGAAGCUAAAGGGAGCGAGGGGUCCUGAGUGUGGCGUUCGGGCUGCACCUGCUCCGCAGCCACAGCAAACCCUUUCACCUGUGUGGCUCUCUUGCU